rnacentral:rRNA from 1 species
UGGGGAAUCUUGCACAAUGGGGGAAACCCUGAUGCAGCGACGCCGCGUGAGCGAUGAAGGUUUUCGAAUCGUAAAGUUCUGUCCUAUGGGAAGAUAAUGACGGUACCACAGGAGGAAGCUCCGGCUAACUACGUGCCAGCAGCCGCGGUAAUACGUAGGGGGCGAGCGUUGUCCGGAAUUACUGGGCGUAAAGGGUUCGCAGGCGGCAUGACAAGUCCGAUGUAAAAGGCGAAAGCUCAACUUUCGUGAGCAUCGGAAACUGUCAGUCUUGAGUGAAGGAGAGGCAAGUGGAAUUCCUAGUGUAGCGGUGGAAUGAGUAGAGAUUAGGAGGAUUACCGGCGGGGACGGCGACUCGCUGGACUUCCACUGACGCUGAGGAACGAAAGCAUAGGUAGCACACAGG